AUGAAAGUGAAAAGUGAAAGUGAAGUCGCUCAGUCGUGUCCGACUCUUAGCGAUCCCGUGGACUGCAGCCCAGCAAGCUCUUCCGCCCAUGGGAUUUUCCAGGCAAGAGUACUGGAGUGGGGUGCCAUGCCUUCUCUGCAGCUUCACUCUAGCAUCCCGUCUUCCCAGGUCACCAUACUUUCUGAAGUAAAUUUCACAACAACAAGGAUGUUGCUUUGUCAACAGGCUGGUUCCAGAUUGGGAAAGGAGUAUGUCGAGGCUGCAUAUUGCCACCCUGCUUAUUUAACUUAUAUGCAGAGUAUAUCAUGUGAAAUGCUGGGCUGGAUGAAGCACAAGCUGGAAUCAAGAUUGUUGGGAGGAAUAUCAAUAACCUCAGAUGACGCCACACUUAUGGCAGAAAGCAAAGAAGAACUAAAGAGCCUCUUGAUGAAAGUGAAAGAGGAGAGUGAAAAAGUUGGCUUAAAAUUAAACAUUAAAAAAAACUAAGAUCAUAGCAUCCAGUCCCAUCACUUCAUGGCAAACAGAUGCAGAAACAAUGGAAACAGUAAGAGACUUUAUUUUUGGGGGUUCCAAAAUCAUUCCAGAUGGUGAUUGCAGCCAUGAAAUUAAAAGACACUUGCUCCUUGGAAGAAAAGUUAUGACCAACCUAGACAGCAUAUUAAAAAGCAGAGACAUUACUUUGCCAACAAAGGUCCGUCCAGUUAAAGCUAUGGUUUUUCCAGUAGUCAUGUAUGGAUGUGAGAGUUGAUCUUUAAAGAAAGCUGAGUGCUGAAGAAUUGAUGCUUCUGAAAGUGUUGGAGAAAACUCUUGACAGUCCCUUGGACAGCAAGGAAAUCCAACCAGUCCAUCCUAAAGGAAAUCAGUUCUGAAUAUUCAUUGGAAGGACUGAUGCUAAAGCUGAAGCUCCAAUACUUUGGCCACCUGAUGUGAAGAACUGACUCAUUGGAAAAGACCUUGAUGCUGUGAAAGACUGAAGGCAGGAGAAGGGGACGGCAGAGUAUGGGAUGGUUGGAUGGCAUCACUGACUUGAUGGACAUGAGUUUGAGCAAGCUCCAGGAAUUGGUAAUGGACAGGGAAUCCUGGCAUGUUGCAGUCCAUGGUUUCAUAGAGUCGGACACGACUGAGCUUCUGAACUGACUGACUGAUACCUUCAAAGCCUAAAAUACUGCCAGACAUAUAGUAAGUGCUCAAUAAAUAUUUGGUGAAAGAAUUAAUAAAUUAUAUUCCCAGUAUCAAAACAUAGUAGUAAAAUAGUUAAUACUACCUGUAUUCAU
rnacentral:lncRNA from 1 species